CCUACGGGGGGCAGCAGUGGGGAAUCUUGCACAAUGGGGGAAACCCUGAUGCAGCGACGCCGCGUGAGUGCAGAAGUAUUUCGGUAUGUAAAGCUCUAUCAGCAGGGAAGAAAAUGACGGUACCUGCUUAAGAAGCCCCGGCUAACUACGUGCCAGCAGCCGCGGUAAUACGUAGGGGGCAAGCGUUAUCCGGAUUUACUGGGUGUAAAGGGAGCGUAGACGGCAGCACAAGUCUGGAGUGAAAUGCCGGGGCUUAACCCCGGAACUGCUUUGGAAACUGUGCAGCUAGAGGGCAGGAGAGGUAAGUGGAAUUCCUAGUGUAGCGGUGAAAUGCGUAGAUAUUAGGAGGAACACCAGUGGCGAAGGCGGCUUACUGGACUGUAACUGACGUUGAGGCUCGAAAGCGUGGGGAGCAAACAGGAUUAGAUACCCGAGUAGUC
rnacentral:rRNA from 1 species